UCUCUGUGAUGAAGAUACUUAGCUCACUUUGACCCAAUGUGAAAAGUUUCGAACACCCUGAGAGAU